rnacentral:lncRNA from 1 species
CUGUGACUUAGGAUGCUGCUGCUUUCCUGGCCCCUUGGUGCAGUGCUGUUGGGACUAAGGCUUUCAUUCAUCAUAGGCUUUCUGAGCUUUUGGGUCCUAAGGAAAGCACAGGCCGAUUUGUUACUCGAAGCCAUCCUCCUCUACUUUUCAAAAAUCUACUCCGGAAAAAGAAAAUUAUGUACAGAGAAGUCUACACUUGUUGAUACACCUAUCAAGAAAAGCUUGAUACACCUAAUGAAAACCAAAUGAUGUCUUCUCUAAAAGGAAGAUUACUUGGUAGAUGAAGAGAAGAAGGAGGAAGGAUUUUACAAGUUACUCAUAGCACAAAUCACUGGCUUAAAGCUUAGUCAAAUAGCCAUAGCAAGCUGCACGGAAGCUCAGAAAACAUGAUCACAUAGCUAGGGCGAUAAAUGCAGAAGAAACAAUUGGCUAUGAAAGGGAAACUAGCAUGCUAUGCCACAAUCUCUAAGGGAAGAUUAGGGAAUUUUCAGCCUAAAGCAAGAAUAAUCACAAUAAAAUUGUAUAAUCUUUUGCAAGUACAUAUGAAAAACUUACAAAGAGUUUGUCAUAAUCUUUUCUUAAGCUAAGAGAACAGAAAAAGUGGAAAGAAGAUUAAACUGUAGAAUGAAGUGUUGGUUUAGAGGCAAGAAAGAUUUUAUGGCAUUCAAAAGAUCAGUGUUAUAUUGUUGUGGGAUUUAGGAGGACAAGAGAGACCUCGGGUUAAAACAAGAGAGACCUCGGGUUAAAACUGGAGAAUCUUUUAUUGACUGCACUCAGGCCCAGCAGACUCACAUCCAAAGACUGGGCCCAAAACAAAGACAGCACUUGACUUUUAUACAUGCUUUACAAAAGGGGGUAGCUAGCUUGAAGCAAGCUUACGGUGGGGCGAAACCAGGAUACAGAGGCAGGACAAAGACAGUUAAUCAAAUUGCAACAGGUUCAUAACUCAGGAUUGCGCAUAACCAUUGCUAUGCAACCCAGAUGUCUGUUAUCUAGAUUUGCCUAGGCUUAUCCUAUAACCUUCACUAUGGUGCCUAGACAGCUGUAGUUCAGGCCUGCUCAGGCUUCUCAUGACCUUCGCUGUACUUUUUAGAUAAAACAGAAUAUUUGAAGUUACUAGUUCGGAGAACAAGAAUCUAUAAACUCAUACCCUAAAACAAAGGAAAAUUUGUUUUUCUUCUCCUUACGUUGAGGGAGUGCUGGGAGAGUCUCCAGAGUCCAUUAGAUAAUAUUAUCAAGACCUUUCCUGGGUCUGGGCUGUGUCUGGUGCUGCCUCUGGGACAAGUCAGCCUAUUACAGGAAAGCUCUUUUCUCUUUCUUUUUAAUUUUAUUUUUCUUUAAUUUCCCACCUCAGUAUGGUAUUUUAUGUGUAUGUUGCGAGUAAUUGGAUUUAUCUUGGAUAUAAUAACUUGACUUUUGAAAAAGUCAUUUUUGAUGGGAAAUUUCCCAGGUGUUCUAUAAAGUACUGUCCCAUCAGACAUUAAUAAUAAUCUUCCAUAUUCUUGAGAUAUUUUAAUGGCUUCUUCUAAAAUCUUCAAUUUUUUAGUUUAGAUUAACCUGGGAAUGAUGUUUGGGUAUUGUCUCAUCCAAACUGCUGUUACCCAUUCCCAUCAUAAGUCACAGAUGUCUUGGUUAUUUUGUGCUCUAGCAAUUAACUCAUCAUGAGCCCUGGACUUAUUUGCUCUCCCAAUCAUUUGUGCUAAUUCACUUUUCAUAAGCAUAAUGGAUUUACCAUUGUUAACCCAUAAACCGUAUAGAACUUAUACAUCUGAUUUGACUCCGUGUGCUAAAGUUUUACAUCUACUCUGUAACUCUUGCCUAGUAUAAAACUUAUUUUCAGUAGAGAUAAUAUUUCUGCAUUCACAUCCCUGUGUAAUUUUUUACUGUUACUGCUGGUCAGGCUUUCCAGGGAUUAUCAUAACCUCCUGGGUCCUCUGGAUGAGGGAUAUAUUCUUCAGGAUAACUUUGUAAUAAAUCUUUUAUCUAUCUAAAUCAAUAGUACCUAAAGUCUUCAGUAACAAGUUUAGUACUUGAUUUUUCUUAGCUCUGUGAGCUACAGUGACCAAUGCCUGAGGUUGGGUGAUAAGGCCAACAUCAGCCUGGUCUUUGCCAGAACUUUUUUUCUAAUACAUUUCUCUACUGAUUUCCAGGGGUCACUGCAUGUCAAUAUAUGAGUUCUGGCAUCGCAAUUUGUUUAAAUGUUUUGUGACUGACUAGCAACAUAGUAACUUAAUAUAAUUUUAAAAUACAAUUUGCAAGUAAAAUGUUGAUAUGGUUUGAUUGUGUCCCCAUCCAAAUCUCAUCUUGAAUUCUCACAUGUCAUUGGAGGGAGUCGGUGGGAGCUAAUCGAAUCAUGGGGGCAGGUCUUUCCUGUGCUGUUCUCGUGAUAGUGAAUAAGUCUCACGAUAUCUGAUGCUUUUAAAAAGGGGACUGCACUAGUUCUCUUUUCUUGUCUGUUGUCAUGUGAGAUGUGCCUUUCAUCUUCUGCCAUGAUUGUGAGGUCUCCCCAGCCACAUGGAACUGUAAAUCCAAUGAGCCUCUUUCUUUUUGUAAGUUGCCCAGUCUACAUAAUCACUGUUUUCAGAUUCUGAAAGUAAUUUUGGAUAGUUUCACUAAAUCAAGGCAAAUGAACACUUGAAUUCAGUUCUAUUCGUACCCAAAUUCCAUGAAAAUGACUAAAUAUAAACAAUUGAAUAAGAAACACAAAAACUGAGCAUAAAAUACUAAAAGGAAUUAAAAAAUAAAAAAGGAAUGAAAAAAGCAAACAGAUGAUGGCUUCAAAGUUAUAGAAACUGGAAAAUGGAUGGUCUAGUUGUUGCUGACAUAAAACAGAAAAAGUUGAAAUCCAGCUCUCAGACUUGAGGGACUCCCAUAAAAGAAAGCCACCUAAUGCCUCGGGAUAGAGUGAAGAGAGCCACCAUAACAACAACAACAAAAUGAAGUAGGCAAUACAGAGUAGCAAUGGCAAAGCUUAAAUAUUAUUAGCAUAAGUAAGUCUGAGAAUGCUUAGUGUGUACAUUGUCUAAUCAGCCCACAGCAUUCUGAUUGCUCAUGUAACUCAACACGGUGAGCUAAUCUCAUUAAGCCUAAUCCUAAGCAAAGCCAGAAAGUCACUGAUGCUGUUUUUGGACUGAGAGUUCUUAAGCUGUCAUUCUCAGUUGAGGGUGGCUAGAUAUUUCAGACAGCCAUGAAAAUUAAGUGCUUCUUAAAGCAAACAAAGAAAUGUCUCAGAGAACAAGAAAAGAGAAUAGGAGAACAAGAAACAGAACAAGAAGAGGAAAAGAACAAGAAACAUAGAGAACAAGAAGAGAACAUCACUAUAUAGUAUAAGGGUGCCUGUUCAAAGAUUUUGAUCGGUAGCUGCUUAAGUCUUUCUUGGACCUGUAAAGACUAUCGUGUGUGUUUAACUUCUCAGUGAUCUGACCACACUCUUCCAACCACUGAGCUCCAUUUUUCAAUGUAGUGCUGGCUUCUUGAUAGCCUUUCAGCCACUCCUCAUAAUCAUCCUCAGAGAGAACAGCAUAAGCCACAGAGUGCACAAGCCAGCAAAUCAGCCACUGGUGAGUGGAAGCAAGUAGAAUGCUUUACCUCACAGGGGACAUCACACAUGCUCAAAAGUUAAAGAAACCACUGCUUUUUAAGGACACUUUAAUUCAACAUUUACACAGUUCCAAAAGGAUAUUUAAACACAGCUCUCUACACACUGCUUUAAAUGUGUCCCAGAGAUUCUGGUAUGUUGUAUCUUUGUUCUCAUUGGUUUCAAAGAAUAUCUUUAUUUCUGCCUUCAUUUCGUUAUGUACCCAGUAGUCAUUCAGGAGCAGGUUGUUCCGUUUCCAUGUAGUUGAGCGGUUUUGAUUGAGUUUCUUAGUCUUGAGUUCUAGUUUGAUUGCACUGUGGUCUGAGAGACAGUUUGUUAUAAUUUCUGUUCUUGUACAUUUGCUGAGGAGUGCUUUACUUCCAAUUAUGUGGUCAAUUUGGGAAUAAGUGCUAUGUGGUGCUGAGAAGAAAGCAGGGAAGAUCUAAAAUUGACACUGUAACAUCACAAUUAAAAGAACUAGAGAAGCAAGAGCAAACGCAUUCAAAAGCUAGCAGAAGGCAAGAAAUAACUAAGAUCAGAGCAGAACUGAAGGAGAUAGAGACACAAAAAAACAUCCAAAAAAUCAAUGAAUCCAGGAGUUGGUUUUUUGAAAAGAUCAACAAAAUUGACAGACCGCUAGCAAGACUAAUAAAGAAGAAAAGAGAGAAGAAUCAAAUAGAUG